UACGUAGGGAGCAAGCGUUGUCCGGAAUCAUUGGGCGUAAAGCGCGCGUAGGUGGCCCCGUAAGUCCGCUGUGAAAGUCAAAGGCUCAACCUUUGAAAGCCGGUGGAUACUGUGGGACUAGAGUACGGAAGAGGCGAGUGGAAUUCCUGGUGUAGCGGUGAAAUGCGCAGAUAUCAGGAGGAACACCGGUGGCGAAGGCGGUUCUCUGGGCAUGUCCUGACGCUGAGGAGCGAAAGUGUGGGGAGCGAACAGG
rnacentral:rRNA from 1 species